UUGAUUGAAACCAAAUAAGAGGUAUAUUACUGUUAAUAAUAAAAUUGAAUUUUAUAUUCCAAUCAAG
rnacentral:tRNA from 1 species